rnacentral:tRNA from 1 species
GUGGUGACUCAGUGGUAAAACGCUUGCCUAGCAUGUGUGAGGCACUGGGUUCAAUUCUCAGCACCACA